GCGGACCGGCGCUAGAGAGUUGUGAGGAGGAAUCAGAUCUUUUCACUUUGACAGAGAUGUUCUCGCUGAAUUCAUGUAGAAAAGUGGAAAAACUUAAGAUGCCAAGUAAAAAUCUGGGCAGGAUGGGAGGCUGAAGGAGAGCAGCAACUCAUGA